rnacentral:rRNA from 1 species
CCUACGGGAGGCAGCAGUAGGGAAUAUUGGACAAUGGGCGAAAGCCUGAUCCAGCCAUGCCGCGUGAUAGAUGAAGGCCUCUGGGUUGUAAAUAUCUUUUAUCUGGGAAGCGGUACCAGAGGAAUAAGCACCGGCUAACUCCGUGCCAGCAGCCGCGGUAAUACGGAGGGUGCAAGCGUUAUCCGGAUUCACUGGGUUUAAAGGGUGCGUAGGCGGGUAUAUAAGUCAGUGGUGAAAGCUCCGGGCUUAACUUGGAAAUUGCCAUUGAUACUGUAUAUCUUGAAUAUCGUAGAGGUUAGCGGAAUGUUGCAUGUAGCGGUGAAAUGCUUAGAUAUGUUACAGAACACCAAUUGCGAAGGCAGCUAACUAUGCGAUAUUGACGCUGAGGCACGAAAGCGUGGGGAGCAAACAGGAUUAGAUACCCUUGUAGUC